rnacentral:rRNA from 1 species
UACGGAAGGCAGCAGGUGGGGAAUAUUGCACAAUGGGCGAAAGCCUGAUGCAGCUAUGCCGCGUGUAUGAAGAAGGCCUUAGGGUUGUAAAGUACUUUCAUCGGGGAGGAAAAACAAAACUAAUAAUUUUAUUUCUUGACGUUACCCGAAAAAGAAGCACCGGCUAACUCCGUGCCAGCAGCCGCGGUAAUACGGAGGGUGCUAGCGUUAAUCAGAAUUACUGGGCGUAAAGAGCACGUAGGUGGUUUUUUUAAAGUCAGAUGUGAAAUCCCUGGGCUUAACCUAGGAACUGCAUUUUGAAACUGAAAUACUAGAGUAUCGUAGAGGGAGGUAGAAUUCUAGGUGUAGCGGUGAAAUGCGUAGAUAUCUGGAGGAAUACCUGUGGCGAAAGCGGCCUCCUAAACGAAUACUGACACUGAGGUGCGAAAGCGUGGGGAGCAAACAGGGAUUAGAUACC